rnacentral:rRNA from 1 species
ACACGGCGGGUGCUAACGUCCGUCGUGAAGAGGGAAACAACCCAGACCGCCAGCUAAGGUCCCAAAGUCAUGGUUAAGUGGGAAACGGAUGUGGGAAGGCACAGACAGCCAGGAUGUUGGCUUAGAAGCAGCCAUCAUUUAAAGAAAGCGUAAUAGCUCACUGGUCGAGUCGGCCUGCGCGGAAGAUGUAACGGGGCUAAACCAUGCACCGAAGCUGCGGCAGCGACGCUUAUGCGUUGUUGGGUAGGGGAGCGUUCUGUAAGCCGUUGAAGGUGUGCUGUGAGGCAUGCUGGAGGUAUCAGAAGUGCGAAUGCUGACAUAAGUAACGAUAAAGCGGGUGAAAAGCCCGCUCGCCGGAAGACCAAGGGUUCCUGUCCAACGUUAAUCGGGGCAGGGUGAGUCGACCCCUAAGGCGAGGCCGAAAGGCGUAGUCGAUGGGAAACAGGUUAAUAUUCCUGUACUUGGUGUUACUGCGAAGGGGGGG